rnacentral:rRNA from 1 species
UACGUAGGGUGCAAGCGUUUAAUCGGAAUUACUGGGCGUAAAGCGUGCGCAGGCGGUUUUGUAAGUCUGUCGUGAAAUCCCCGGGCUCAACCUGGGAAUUGCGAUGGAGACUGCAAGGCUAGAAUCUGGCAGAGGGGGGUAGAAUUCCACGUGUGAGCAGUGAAAUGCGUAGAGAUGUGGAGGAACACCGAUGGCGAAGGCAGCCCCCUGGGUCAAGAUUGACGCUCAUGCACGAAAGCGUGGGGAGCAAACGAAGGAU